GACGAACGCUGGCGGCGUGCCUAACACAUGCAAGUCAACUUGACUGAAGGAGCAAUCUGACAGUAGAGUGGCGCAAGGGUGCGUAACGCGUAAGUAACUUGCCCAAGGUAAGGAAUAACGUCGAGAAAUCGGCGCUAAUACCUCAUAAUGCAGCGGAUCCGCAUGGAUAUGUUGUUAAAGGUUUACCGCCUUGGGAUAGGCUUGCGUCUGAUUAGCUAGUUGGUGUGGUAACGGCACACCAAGGCUACGAUCAGUAACUGGUCUGAGAGGAUGAUCAGUCACACUGGAACUGAGACACGGUCCAGACUCCUACGGGAGCAGCAGUGAGGAAUAUUGGGCAAUGCUCGAAAGAGUGACCCAGCAACGCCGCGUGGAGGAUGAAGGUAUU
rnacentral:rRNA from 1 species